rnacentral:lncRNA from 1 species
UGGGUUUCCAACUGUGGCAAGUAGCGGCUUCUCCCCACAUCCCUGGGCUGGACCCCAGGCCCCUGCAUACUGGGCACAGCCAGGACCCCCCGACCCCAGGGCCUGUGCUUCUAGGAAGAGGGGGAAAAUUGAAUUUGUGGGGAGUGGCAGGCAGCCUCCUUCCUUGGUUCACAAUGACAGUCCAACUUCUGCCAGUCCUGACUGUCAUUCAAGCCUUUUUGCUAUUUAAGAAUUUUGAGGAAGAAAACCGUCAUGUACUCAAAAUCCUGGUAAUCAGAAGUGUCUGGAGAUUUCGAGCUGUUAACAUAGAGAGGUGGCAAAAUUAUUUUCUGGGAUAUCCUUAUGGGCCUGAAUGGCAGCGGGAGUCGACAUAGCUGGUGCCUGGGCAGGUUUCCAAAGCACAGCCGAGGUGGAGAGUAGGUGAGGGCUGCAACAAAGGUCCCGACAUCUGAAGAGCACUGCACAGUUUGUCAGAGGAUUUCAGCUCCACACUCUCACUUAGUCCUCACAGCAACCCCAUGCAGUGACUGCUGUCACUUCUUUUCAUGGCUGAGAAGACUGUUGGGAGAGGAAAAAUGAAUUGCCCACUGGCAGGCAGGUAAGAGGCACAGCUGAAACUCUCACCUAGUUCUUCUGACUCCAAGCCCAUCAUCUCAGGAUUGUACCCAAGUGGCUCUUGCACCAGUAUCAGCGCCAAUGGCAGGGUCAGCAGAAAAUAGCAGAGGGGCCUGAAAACAGAUGGGAACAUCUGGAAAAG